UACGGAGGGUGCAAGCGUUAUCCGGAUUUAUUGGGCGUAAAGCGUGCGCAGACGGUCUGGUACGUCUUAUCUGAAAUCUGUGAGCUUAACUUACAGGCUUGGGUGAGAUACGGCAAGACUAGAGGAUACUAGAGGCUACUGGAACUCACGGUGUAGGGGUGAAAUCCGUUGAUAUCGUGGGGAACACCGAAGGCGAAGGCAGGUAGCUGGGGUAUUCCUGACGUUCAGGCACGAAAGCGUGGGGAGCAAAAAGG
rnacentral:rRNA from 1 species